rnacentral:rRNA from 1 species
AGUGGGGGAUAUUGCACAAUGGGGGAAACCCUGAUGCAGCAACGCCGCGUGAGUGAUGAAGGUUUUCGGAUCGUAAAGCUCUGUCUUUGGGGAAGAUAAUGACGGUACCCAAGGAGGAAGCCACGGCUAACUACGUGCCAGCAGCCGCGGUAAUACGUAGGUGGCGAGCGUUAUCCGGAUUUACUGGGCGUAAAGGGAGCGUAGGCGGAUGAUUAAGUGGGAUGUGAAAUACCCGGGCUCAACUUGGGUGCUGCAUUCCAAACUGGUUAUCUAGAGUGCAGGAGAGGAGAGUGGAAUUCCUAGUGUAGCGGUGAAAUGCGUAGAGAUUAGGAAGAACACCAGUGGCGAAGGCGACUCUCUGGACUGUAACUGACGCUGAGGCUCGAAAGCGUGGGGCAGCAAACAGGAUUAGAUACCCUGGUAGUCCACGC